rnacentral:rRNA from 1 species
UACAGAGGGUGCAAGCGUUGUUCGGAAUUAUUGGGCGUAAAGGGCGCGUAGGCGGUGCUGUAAGUCUGUAGUGAAAUCUCUGGGCUCAACUCAGAGUCUGCUAUAGAAACUGCAGUGCUAGAGUGUGGGAGAGGUGAGUGGAAUUCCCGGUGUAGCGGUGAAAUGCGUAGAUAUCAGGAGGAACACCUGUGGCGAAAGCGGCUCACUGGACCAUAACUGACGCUGAUGCACGAAAGCUAGGGGAGCAAACAGG